AGUAUAUUCAGAAUGAAAAUUCAAACAAUUACAUGAAACGUACUCAAAAAGUGAGGGUUAUGAAUACAUAGAAAUGUUUACAAUUGAAACAACAAUAACAAUCAGCUGAUAUAAUCAAGUUUUAAUUUAUUAUUAUCAAUUGAACAAUCAAUUUCCAACAAACAGUAAUCAAAAAACGAUCUGAAAAAACUUCACUCUACCAUAACAUCCUAUUAAUUUGUUCAUUUUUUUGUGCUCAUUUAUUUACACAGUUUCAAAAUGAACGUCAUGUGUGUUUAAUUUGCUGGAUAUAUCAAUUAUCAUCAACAAGAGUAACAAUAACAACAAAUUGCAACAAUUGUGAUAACCUUUCACGGUUAAUGAUUAAACUCACCAUCGACUAUUCAUUUCACAAUUAACUUUUUCUUCCCUUGAGUAUAAACAACAACAACAACAACUUACGCCUGACUCGUUGGCACCAUUUUGGACCCGUUGUGUCAAAGGAAAACAUUACAAAUCCAAGAAUGAGUGUAGAGGCAAAAAACAGCACAAUUAAAAAAAAAGGAGAAAGUGAUUAACUAAAUCAACAAAACGUUUGUUUAAUCAAGAAUCAGCUUCUGUUAUUUUACAACCAUCAUUAAGUUUGAGUGGUGCUUUUGUGAAAAGUACAAUCAAAAGCGGAUCAACCGAUUAAGGAUUAGUAACAUUUGGGUCUAUGAAGAUAAUAGGAAAAUAUUGAGAUGAUUUUUAUAUUGAUAGUGAUUUUAUAAAACUAUUGUCUUACCUACGCAAUCAACUGAUUAUUUGCUGUUUUUUGUUGUUGUUGAGAUGAACCCGAAAACUGUUAAUCAAUGUAAGGAAUCAACUAAAGAUGAACAGAUAAAAGGUGUGCAGUAAUUGACAUUGAUAAUAAUGAUGAAGAUGAUUAAAAUUAUAUGAUAAUAAGAUGAGAAUCUGUAUUAGUUCAGGUAAAUUCAAAGUAAUCAAGGUAAAAAACCAAGGCGUUGUUAAACUAGAAACUAAAUGAAAAGGCAAUAAAAACAAACUAAUAAGCAAAAGUUAAUACAUUUCAUGAAGGAACCAACACCAUGAUGAUCAACAUAAUCAUCAUCAUCCCAACAAGAACCAAAGUAGCACCAAAAUUUUGCAAUAUCAAGGAAAAAGAGGUGCAGUAAUCAAGACUAAUAACUCAGCAUGCAAUUGAUUGUGAUGUCGUUGAUUCAGUGGAAAAUUAUUGAAAUGAUUAAGUAGAUGAAGAACGGAACUGUAAUCAUGAUGAUGAUUAACUUUUUUUUCUCCUUUUCUUAAUCAUUUAUUUGCUCAUUUAAAAAAAAUUCAACUCAAUUGCCUCCAUGUUUAUCUCAAUUUCCUCAAUAUUUUUCAUUUAUUUUCAAUCAUCAUUAUGGGCAAACAUUGAAUUCUGUUGAAAGAUUAAGGGAAUGACAAUAAUAAUCAAUAAAUCAACAAGUUACCGAUUACACGGUUUCCAAACAAUUAAUCAUCUUUACUUGUUACAAAAAAAAAGAUUCAGAUGAUUAGUCCCAAAAACCCUUGGUCAGUUAUUGUGGUCAAGGAUUAACAGGCCUGAUGAUGAUAAAUUCAUCAUAUUCCAAGUUGAAGAAACAUGGUCACAAUCAAGAAGAAAAAAAGAAAACAACAAAUUCAUUUUAAUAUGUUAACCUCAUUAAUCUUAAGUUAAUCUUUAAGGCAUCUCACCGAGUUAUCCGUAACCAUUAUCUUUCACACUGUUGAUGCUUUUUUGGAAAAAGAUGAAGAGGAAGAUACUGAUUCUGAUGAUGAUGAUAAAGAUGAACAUCAAAUAAGGAUAAAAGAAAGAGAAUCAUAUAUUUCUCUUUCUUCCCUCAGAUGAAAAGGUAAAAGGCUAAGCUUUUCAUUUUAAUGGUAUCAUGUUUACAAUCAGUUUUAAUACAUUUCUAUUAUAAAACUAUCAACGAUUUGUUUUAAGGAUUUAAAAUGUAAGCCAAAUGAUAAGGUAAAAAUAAACAUCAACAAUAAUCAUCUAAAUUAUUACGAUUAUCGUUGAAACUUGUUCCCGCUCAUUAUUGUUGAUCAACUUUCUGUUUAAAUAUCUACAUGGUGAAAAAAAAGGAUCAACAUCUUAUUAAAUUGUUCAAUAGUUUAAUCAUUUAUCAUCAUUUGGGUAAGCGGAUAAAUACAAUUGGAUACCAUUACCAGUAAUUAACUAUUAAAGUAACAGUAAUCAACGUUAACCAUGAUAAUGAUGAUAAUCAUCAUGACGAUAAACAUGAUAUACUUAUAAGAGACUUAUCUUUGAUUAAAUGUAAUAGUUGUAUAUAAAUGAUAUUAUUAACAUGAUGGUUAAUCUUUAUAUAAAUAUAAUCAAUAUGAUAAUAUUGAUCUCUCAUCAUUUGGUUUAAUAAUCAACAAUGAAUACAUUCAAUAGGUAAUAUCUGAAAGGAUUUAGAUUAAAUCAGAUAAUUGUUAACAUUGUAAAUCAACUUGUCACAUUGUUUAUCAUAUAAUUAGAAUCAGAAUAGAUUAAUUUUGUUUAUGUAUUUUAAUCACAGGUAUAAAUUAGCAUAUUAUACAUGAUUAAUUUUCAUGAUAAUGGGUAAUGAACACAUGAAAAUAAAAAUGGAAAAGCUCAGAAAAUUAUUAAUAAGAGUUAACAAUUAAAAUGAUGAUAUAAAUUGUGAUUAAAAUUCAUGAUAACCAUGUUGAU